rnacentral:rRNA from 1 species
UACGGAGGGGGCAAGCGUUAUUCGGAAUCAUUGGGCGUAAAGAGCGCGCAGGCGGUCGUGCAAGUCGCGUGUGAAAGCCCCCGGCUCAACUGGGGAGGGUCACGCGAUACUGCUCGACUCGAAGGCAGGAGAGGGAAGUGGAAUUCCCGGUGUAGUGGUGAAAUGCGUAGAUAUCGGGAGGAACACCAGUGGCGAAGGCGACUUCCUGGCCUGUUCUUGACGCUGAGGCGCGAAAGCUAGGGUAGCAAACGGG